CUCGCAUGUAUUACUUUCAGAUUCAUUUAUUAUUUUACUUUCUUUGAUAGUUUCGAAGUAUUGUUUUACCUUUUCUGUAUCGGGUUUUGUUGAAGUAUAAUAAUUUAGUAUAAUAAUUGACUUCCAAAUUUAGUAUUUUGUUUUGGUCAUAUGUUACUUGAUUAUUUUCAUCAUACAGUUGAGUUAUAGUUUUUUUUACUUUGCCGUGUUUUUUCUAGACCAAGAAAAAAAGAUGUGUUUUUCUCCCCUUCUUCUAGCCAUUUUACGCGUGAUCUAAUUUGAUUUCCUUUAAUUUUUUCAUUAUAUAAACUUGCUAAUUGUUUUUCAAUGUUUUCUUUUAGGUUGACUUUCUUCUCAUUUAUAUAAUUAUCACAAUCAAUUUCUUCAGAUAGGGUUUUUAAUGUAUUUUCUAAAAUUUCAAUAGUAUCUUUUUUUAUAUUCGCCUUUAAUUUACAGUAUUGGAUGGUAUAAUCCCUUACCUCAACUUUAAAGUUAUCCCAUAAAAUAUCUAGGUUAAGAGAUGUUUCUGAUUUUGUUUUAUAUUUAUC
rnacentral:lncRNA from 1 species